GGAUAAGAACCACGUUCGCCGUGGCGAGCUCUGCAUUGGGACGUCUCCCCUCCAUCCAUUCCUGGUACAUUGUUGUCAUGUGCUAAUUCUGUUCGCAGUGCUUUAUAGUAGGCCCCAACAAACCCGUCUGGUCCCGGUGUCUUAUUGCCCUCUAUCAACCCUAUGGCCCUGUCUACUUCUUCUGUCGUAAUUGUUGACUCUAGGCCUAUUAGGUCUUCCCUAUUUGGCUUGGGUAGGUUUAUGCUGUCCAGGAAGUUUGCGACUGCCUCUACGUGUUCCCUGUUGGUUUCAUCCUUCUCCAGGGAGUGAUUGUAUAGUUGCCGUAGGAAAUUGGUGAAUUCCUCGGCUAUGUCCUGUGGGGAAGUGAGGGAUUGGCCCCUUUCGUUGGUUAUGGAUGUGAUGUGUUUGUGUUUUUGUUUGGGCCUGAGGGCUCUAGCUAUUAACGUAUCCAUUUUAUUGGACUUUUCGUAAAAAAGUCUUCUCGAUCAGGUGAUAUCUCUGCUUACCUCAUCCAAGAGGAGAUUCUUCAGCGCAUGUCUGAUGUUUUGUAUGUCAUCUAGUGUGGGCUGUGUCGGAUUCUGUUUGUGUUGCAUUUCCGCUUUGCGGAGGGCCUUCUGUAGUUCAGUUAGUUUUUCCAUUUUUUGUUUUUUAUUACGUGUCGCUAUUUUUAUUAGGGUUCCGCUUUGUGGGCCGCCCAUGUCAUAGUGGGGGAUAUUCCUACCGUGGUGUUUAAUUCAAAGUACUUGUUUACUUCUGUCUUAAGUAGCUCUAGGGUGUCUUGGUCUCUAAGGAGGGAGUUGUUAAGCCUCCACCUCCAGGGGGCCCGAGGCCCCGGAGUGUGUAGGGUCAGGGCAAUGUCAGCGUGGUCUGACCAGGAUAUCAUAUUUAUGGCGGACGACUUGAACCAUCUCAUACCUUGUUGAUUCGUAAGGAAUACGUCUAUUCGGGAGUAAGUGGAGUGUACUGCUGAAUAGUGGGUAUAGUCUAGUGUGCCUGGGUGUUGCAACCGCCAGGGGUCCAGAAGCCCAGUGUUUUGUAGAAAUUUGUUUAGUAAGCGAUCCUGUCCUCCUCUACCCUGUGAUCUGGGUUGACCUGGUUUGCCACUGCGCUCGACCGCGGGACACGGCGCUGCGUUCAGGUCGCCCCCUAGGAUCAGUAUACCCCCCGUCAAUGAGUUUAUGAGCUUUUCCAGAGUGGUCCAAAAGUGGGCGUCAGGGAUGUUAGGGGCAUAUACGUUUAUGAGGUGGUAUUUGGUGGCGUUGAUCAUUCCCGUGAGUAUUAUAAACCGUCCAUCCGUUUCUCUGUGUAUGGACUGUAUUACCAGUGGGCAUCGUUUGUGGAUGACUAUUUCUACUCCCUUUGUUUUACGGAGCGAGCGUGUCGCGUAUGUUUUCGUAUAUAUGUGGUCUAUGAUUUGAAUCUUGGAGGUCUUAGGGAGGUGGAUUUCCUGUAUGAACGCUAUGUCUGCC